AGAGGGUUCGAUUAUGGCUCAGAUUGAACGCUGGCGGGAUGCUUUUGCACAUGCAAGUCGAACGGCAGCACGACUUCGGUCUGGUGGCGAGUGGCGAACGUAAGAGUAAUGUAUCGAACGUGCCUAGUAGCGGGGAUAACUACGCGAAAGCGUAGCUACUACUGUACGCGCCCUUCGGGGAAAGCGGGGACCUUUCGGGCCUCGCACUAUUAGAGCGGCCGAUAUCGGAUUAGCUAGCUGGUGGGUAAACGGCUCACCAUGGCGACGAUCCGCAGCUGGUUUGAGAGGACGACCAGCCACACUGGCCGUGUUCAGUCCCAGUGUGGCUGGUCGUCCCAGCCAGCACCCCACCAAUUCAGCUAAUACCGCAUACGCCCUUCGGGGGAGCGGGGACCUUCGCCUCGCACUAGAGCGGCCGAUAUCGGAUUAGCCAGUUGGUGGGGUAACGGCUCACCAAGGCGACGAUCCGUAGCCGGUUUGGGAGGACGACCAGCCACACUGGGACUGAGACACGGCCCAGACUCCUACGGAGGCAGCAGUGGGGAAUUUGACAAUGGGGAACCCCGAUCCAGCCAUCCCGCGUGUGCGAUGAAGGCCUUCGGGUUGUAAAGCACUUUGGCAGGAAAGAAACGGCACGGGAUAAUACCCCGUAACUGACGGUACCCGCAGAAUAAGCACCGGCUAACUACGCGCCAGCAGCCGCGGUAAUACGUAGGUGCAAGCGUUAAUCGGAAUUACUGGGCGUAAAGCGCGCAGGCGGUUCGGAAAGAAAGAUGAAAUCCCAGAGCUUAACUUUGGAACUGCAUUUUUAACUACUGAGCUAGAGGUGUCAGAGGGAGGUGGAAUUUGGCGUGUGUGCAGUGAAAUGCGUAGAUAUGCGGAGGAACACCGAUGGCGAAGGCAGCCCUCCUGGGAUAACACUGACGCUCAUGCACGAAAGCGUGGGGAGCAAACAGGAUUAGAUACCCUGGUAGUCCACGCCCUAAACGAUGUCAACUAGCUGUUGGGGCCUUCGGGCCUUGGUAGCGCAGCUAACGCGUGAAGUUGACCGCCUGGGGAGUACGGUCGCAAGAUUAAAAACUCAAAGCGGGAAUUGACGGGGACCCGCACAAGCGGUGGAUGAGGGAUUAAUUCCGAUGCAACGCGAAAACCUUACCUACCUCCUUGACAUGUCUGGAAUCCCGAAGAGAUUUGGGAGUGCUCGCAAGAGAACCGGAACACAGGUGCUGCAUGGCUGUCGUCAGCUCGUGUCGGGAGAUGUUGGGUUAAGUCCCGCAACGAGCGCAACCCUUGUCAUUAGUUGCUACGAAAAGGCACCUAAUGACUGCCGGUGACAAACCGGAGGAAGGUGGGGAUGACGUCAAGUCCUCAUGGCCCUUAAUGGGCAGGGCUUCACACGUCAUACAAUGGUCGGGACAGAGGGUCGCCAACCCGCGAGAGGGGGAGCCAAUCCCAGAAACCCGAUCGUAGUCCGGAUCGCAGUCUGCAACUCGACUGCGUGAAGUCGGAAUCGCUAGUAAUCGCGGAUCAGCAUGUCGCGGUGAAUACGUUCCCGGGUCUUGUACACACUGCCCGUCACACCAUGGGAGUGGGUUUUUACCAGAAGUAGUUAGCCUAACCGUAAGGAGGGCGAUUACCACGGUAGGAUUCAUGACUGGGGUGAAGUCGUAACAAGGUAA
rnacentral:rRNA from 1 species